GAACGCCUGCGAAAUAAGGAUGUGAGACCAGAUUCCUAAUCUGGGGGUCGCGCGUUCGAAUCGCGCCGGGAUCACCA
rnacentral:tRNA from 1 species